GACGAACCGUGCGAACGUUGUUCGGAAUCACUGGGCUUAAAGGGCGCGUAGGCGGGCUGCCCAGUCUGGGGUGAAAUCCCGCGGCUCAACCGUGGAACUGCCUCAGAUACUGAUGGCCUCGAGGGAGGUAGGGGCAUGCGGAACUGUAGGUGGAGCGGUGAAAUGCGUUGAUAUCUACAGGAACUCCGGUGGCGAAGGCGGCGUGCUGGACCUCUUCUGACGCUGAGGCGCGAAAGCUAGGGGAGCAAACGGG
rnacentral:rRNA from 1 species